UUUAACUAACUACAAAAGCUAAAAUGCCCAAAAUUGACAGUUAGAAUUUCCUUAUAACAAGGAAUUAUAAACUGAUAGAAAUGGACUUAAAAAUAAAUAAAUAUAUGUA